GGAGUAUAUUACCACACGAUUACAAUCUGCCAAAUCUUGUCAGAGUUUUCCAAUCAAGCUGGCUUAACCUUGAAAUGAAUGCGGCAGUCAACAAAAUGAGAUGUGACGGUGACACUUCCUCAACUGCACGGUGAUCGUUCGAGCCGUGCAGUAUCGGUCGUGCUAUAUAAAGAACAGUCUUCACAGCAUUAAACUGUAGUAAGAUUGUUUUGGGUUUUUUUUUUUUUUUGCAGUACGCUAUGAAGUCAUUUGGUGGCUUGACCAAUACCAUCGGAGUAUACUAACGGCUCAGGAAGAGCAAACUGCCAGCCUAGGCAAGCAACAUAUAUACACAACAAAUCAACACGGAAAUAAUGCGUACCGUAGCAUGUUUUAACUAACCCGCUGUAUACCUAGAUUUAACUUCAUGAGCACAGACAUUGGAAUUGAUUUGCAAUAUGGUCAAAGGACGUGUGCAUAAAGCUCAGAUUGUGCUUUGCUUUGAUGUACCCGCGCAGAAGCUCAUCUCCCAGAAACAGCGGGCUACUUCUUCUCGUGCACACCAAAUCCACGCGCCACGCAAAGCCCGCAAGCCGCGUUCGGGGCUUCAGGUCGUUGGGAAUCAAGAAACAGCCUCGCACAACAGCGUCUUGUUGGUGUGAAGCAAUGUCGGUGAAUUCUUUACUCGUCACUCCCCGACGAUGUCAUGGGUUUAAAAUGAAUAAAUAUUACAUUAUACUGCGGUGUUCGUGCAUGGCUGUAUUUUAUUAAAUCUAGCUAAUGUACUGCCAGUGGUGCGCUGAUUUUUUCUUUUCUUUCUCAUACCCAUUGCAAACUCAUGUUUUUUACAUUAUCGAUUGGAAGAUUUACUCUUAUGUUUUUAUAUCCGUAUUAGGAAUGCUAGAAAAAUAUUGAUGCGCGGUUUUAUUAUUUUGCGGACUUUCUAUCUUUGAUAUUUCCAUCGCUUUGCUGCGUCACACUUUAUUUAGAAUGGUGAUGGCUCCCUCUACAGGACACCAUUUCUACUCCACUUUUGUAUUAGAAAAAACUAACGCUUUGCUAGUUAACGCGUUUAUGUUUUUUUCUUUUCCCUCACCACUAGAUGGUAGUAUCUGUUUACCUGAGAGACAGCUAUGCAUGAACUCAUUUUUGUGUCAUACAUACUAUGCAUCACAACACGAAUUUCAGAAUGUUAGUAAAAUUAGCAAAAGUCAAAAAUAAAAGUGGGCUGCCAAUAGAGCAUUUUCUGUUCAA